AUGCUGGGGGUUCCUGAUAAUGUACGAUGCUGGGAGUUCCUGAUAAUGUUCACUGACUUCUUUCUUCUUUUAUCUUUUUCCUCAUCAAAAAAGGCCAGUUAUGCUAGUAAACACCAGGAAAAGAAAAUUGCUUAUAGAGUUCUUUGGCAUUGCAGGCAUAUAAAGGAAAGGGGACAUAUACACAUCUGCUACAAAGUUCUACAUUUCUUCAUCAAGGAUAUGGGACACUGUGUCUGGAGUUGGUUCCUUCCAGGGGAUUCGUGGUCUCGCUGACUUCAAGAAUGAGGCUGUGAACCUUCAUGGUGAGUGUUACAGCUCUUAAAGGUGGCAUGGACCCAAAGAGUGAGCAGCAACGAGGUUUAUUGUGAAGAGCAAAAGAACAAAGCUUCCAUAGCGUGGAAGCAGACCAGAGUGGGUUACUGCUGCUGGCUGGGGUGGCCAGCUUUUAUUCCCUUAUUUGUCCCCGCCCAUGUUCCAUUUCUGCCCUAUCAGAGUGCCCUUUUUUCAAUCCUCCCCGUGAUUGGUUACUUUUAGACUCCUGCUGAUUGGUGGGUUUUCCAGAGCACUGAUUGGUGCGUUUUAUGGAGUGUUGAUAGGUGUGUUUUUUCAGAGUGCUGAUUGGUACAUUUUACAAUCCUCUUACUAGCUACAGAGCACUGAUUGGUGCAUUUUUACAGAGCACUGAUUGGUGCAUUUUACAAACCUCUUGCUAGCUACAGAAUGCCGAUUGGUGCAUCUUACAAUCGUCUUGUAAGACAGAAAAGUUCUCCAAGUCCCCACUGGACCCAGGAAGUCCAACUGGCUUCACCUCUCAACACUAUAGAGGUAUCCCGGGCAUGGUGGCUCAUGCCUGUAAUCCCAGCACUCUGGGAGGCUGAGACAGGUGAAUCACUUGAGGUCAAAGUUUGAGACCAGCCUGGCCAACAUGGUGAAACCCCAUCUCUACUAAAAAUACAAACAUUAGCUGGAUGUGGUGGCAUGCUUGUACUUCCAGCUAGUCUGGAUGCUGAGGCAGGAGAAUCGCUUGAACCUGAGAGGCAGAGGUUGCAGUGAGCCGAGAUGGUGCCAUAGCACUCCAGCUUGGAGGACAGAGCGAGACUCUUCUCAAAAAAAAAAAAAAAAAAAAGAAAAAAAAAAGCAAAGUAGCAACAUAAAGAAGGAGCCACUGGAACAUUCUCGGAGGGCUUUUCCACGGCCUUUUACUUCCUUAUGGGGACACACGGCUGCUGGUACAGAAAGAACCUUUGCUAACCCGGACUGAUACAGACUUACAUUACUGUUCAGGAAAAAGUUAAAACAUUCAAAAAAAAAAAAAUGUACACCUUCAAUUAAGAGAAUGUUGUCCAGCUUCAGUCCCUUUUAGUUCCUGAACCACAUUCAGGAUCAAUAAAGCCAUACACUCAUUCAAACAGAGGAAGCAAAAUUGAUGCCCCGGGGUCUCUGAAAAAUUUGUCUUCUUUCAGCUUUCUCUAAUAGUACCUGGAAAAGCUUUACUCUUCACAAAUUUAAACCAAGUGUAAAUUCAGCAGUGUUUUACAGACCAGCAUUUCUAGAGAAAUGUGGGAGUUGUUGGAAAUGCUGUAUUUUUAAAAGUCAAUAAGUCCUCCUUGAGUAGACAAUCCCCAUUUUUAUGGUCAUUGUUAUAUUUUGAUUUUGAAUCAUAAAAUACAGUUACCUUGUCUUCCCUGCAUCUCUCUCUAAGAUUUUAAGACAAACAUAGCUUUCUGUGCUAUUCACUUUGAACUCAUACUUAUUUAGAAUUUUAGCUCUUAGCUUCUUGUGUUGUCUUUAGUUUUUAUUAAUUUUGUAAUCUUGUGAGAAACAGUAGCCUGCCAAUAAAAUAAGGGCCUAAGAUAGUACAUUGUGUGAACUGUGGUCUCAUUGUAAUUUCCUUAGUUGAGAUUCAACAAUGAGCCUUUUCGUAAUUUUUAAAUGUGUUCUUAAAAUUUAAUUUCCUUUAUGUUUGAUAGUAGCAUAAAAGUAAGAUACCACAGUUGAGUAAGGUCAUUUCAUUAGUCUACUUUAUAUAUCUUUUGGCUAUAGUGAGGUACUUUGCAGGGCUUUGAAAUGUGCUUACCUUGAGUGCAACCAAGGCCUAGAGUAUAGACGAAAAGCAGUGUUUUUUCAAGUGUUGCAGAUGACAGAAUCCUGCACUGAGCCUGAUUUUCGUGAUAGUUUUAAUGUUUUUGUUCUGCAGGACAAAAAUUCAAUGUAACCAUGGUAGAUAUGUCAAUGCUAUUAAUUUUAUCCUCCUGUAAUCAGUGAAUUUUCUGUGUUUACUUACUCUGUGCUGAAGAAUAAAAGUAUUCUACUUUUAUUCAUUUAAAAGUAAAUAUGUGGUUGUUACUUUUUGAA
ensembl:lncRNA